GCCGAAGUGGUGGAAUUGGUAGACACGCUAUCUUGAGGGGGUAGUGGGCUCACCCGUGCCGGUUCAAAUCCGGCCUUCGGCACCA
rnacentral:tRNA from 1 species